GGCCUCAAUGUCCCCUCAAUGUCCCCUCAGUGGUGGCCUCAAUGUCCCCUCAGUGGUGGCCUCGAUGUCCCCUCAAUGUCCCCUCUUUGGUGGCCUCAAUGUCCCCUUUGUGGUCCCAGUGGUGGCCUCAGUGUCCCCAGGUGAUCCCAGCCAGGGCCACCCCCCAGGUGUCCCCCAGUCCCCUCCCGGUGUCCCCAGUUUGUCCCUGUCCCUCUUUGCACUUUAUGCUCAGAUGUCCCCUGGCUCUGUCCCCGUGUGCCCAGGGUGGCAGUGAGGGGACAAUGAGGGGACAGCAGGGCCACCCCUGUGCCCUUUGUCCCUUUGUCCUUGUCCCUUCUGGGCCCUCGGUGUCCCCACCCUGUCCAGGGGACACCCAGGGGUGCUGCCACCCGACUGGGGACACCCCAAAGUGGUGGCACCUGAGAAUUUGGGGACACCCCGACUUGGGGACACCCAGAAUUGUCCCCUCGGGCACGGGGGGUGGAGGGACCCGGUCCCGUAUGAAGCCCCUGGGGACACCUUGGGGACAGUCCUGGGACCACCUUGGGGACAUUCCCAGGGACACCUCAGGGACAUUCUGGGGACAUUCCCGGUGCUCCAGAGCCUCUGGACUUGGUGACAUUGGUGUCCCCAGGGUGGUGACAGAGCCUGCAGGGUCCUUGCCCUGUCCCCACCCCUGGGGACGCCUUGGGGACACUCCCAGGGACACUCCCAAGGCCACCUUGGGGACACCUC
ensembl:lncRNA